rnacentral:rRNA from 1 species
UACGGAGGGUGCAAGCGUUGUCCGGAUUUAUUGGGUUUAAAGGGUGCGUAGGCGGUCCAUUAAGUCUGGGGUGAAAGCCCGUUGCUCAACAACGGAACUGCCCUGGAAACUGGUGGACUUGAGUACAGACGAGGGCGGCGGAAUGGAUGCUGUAGCGGUGAAAUGCAUAGAUAGCAUCCAGAACCCCCGAUUGCGAAGCAGCUGCCUAG